AGAACGCUUACGCUGGGCCAAAUUCAGCCUGUGCCUCUCCACAGCCAAUCCUGCACUUGCCGGCCCCUAACUCUGUAGCUGCACACAGGGCCUGGGCACUUGAGACCUCAGACUCGCCACCGGCUCCUCAGAGCCCCUGCCCAGGUCACCUGUGUAAGGAGAACACAGUGCCAAUGCAGCACAGCAUAGUGACACCCGGCCUGCCGGGAUUUAGCCCCCACCCUACCUAGCGGUUCUGGAGCUGCCACUGUGACCCAUGCAGGGUCGAGCAUCCCAGCUUCUUGCAGAACUAUUGCUACAGGGCCAUCAGCAUGUGACACUAGGAGACUGUGCCAUGUCAUCCUUAUGUGGGUCUGGGUCACAGCCGCCCAUCUGCUGUGCUCCCUGGCUGCCUCUUUUGUGAAAAAGAAGGUGAGGAGGACCAGCGAGGAGACACGCCCACUCCAGGGGAACACCUCCUCCCACAGGAACUCUCUUGUGGCCACAUCCAGUUGCAGAAGAGGCUGGGAAGUGUGCACCAUGGCUGUACCCAGCUGAAAAGGAGGCGAGAAUAGAUAUUGGGAGGCUCAUAGGAGGAAUGGACUUGCCUUGUCUCAGCUCGAAUUCUCUCUCCUGCCACCCUGAGAAGAGGUGCCUUCCACCAUGAUUGCACUCCCUCCAAGACAGACUUCUCUGUGGAAGCAGCAUAUUGGAGGCCUGCUAGGACAGUUCACAGGAAUGGCUGUGGAGGGCUGCAGGCAUGUCUCUAAUCAGAACCUGCUUGUCUUUUUGAUUGACAGCUGCACUUUCUCCACCAAGAAGUGGGUACUGUGCAAGUUAUGGUCAUAGUGAAGGUGGGGGACAUGGAGAUGAUCCCGAAUGAGCUGCAUAGGCCUCAUCGAAUCAGUGGAAAGCCUUGAGAACAGAGCCAAAGUUUCUCUGAGGAAGGGGAAAUUCUACCUGUAGACAGCAGCUUCAGUUCCUGCUGCAGUUUCCAGCCUGCCCUUCCUGAUGUCCUUCCCUGUGGAUUCCAGAUUUGCCAGCCAGUCCUCAUAGCCACAUAAGCCAAUUGCUUGUAAUAAAUCUCCUAGUGUUAAUGAUCCUUUAAUAAUAUACAUAUAAAUAAUAUAUCCUAGUAUUAAUAAAUCAAUCUCCCUCUCUCCAUCUCUCUCUCUCUCUCUCUCUCUCUCUCUCACACACACACACACACACACACACACACACACACACACGUCUUACUAGUUCUACUUCUCUGGUGGAACCUUGACUGAUAUAGAUGAGUAACCAGAAAAAAUUUAACGUGGAGAGGGGGCUUGACCAGAUGUUUUACCAAUCUGUAUAGACAACUUUCCAAAAUGUGGUCAGUCAGGACACAGUCAUCAGUAGUCUAAUCAGGUGGACUUAACUAUCUAAGGCCAAAGCACAGCCAGCCAGUGUCAUAGAUCUGGAUGGCACAAUCAGUAUAGCAGCUGUCCAGAACACAGCUGACCAGGCAGGAUGGAUUAAAGCCACAAUGUAGAAGACAAGAUGAAGACAGGCAAUUGUCCUGGACGUGGCUGUCCAAGAAGACAGUCAUGGGGGAAAUGGCCAGUGUUUCCCAGGAUCUGAGUGGCCAGUCCAUAGUCAUGAGGCUAAAACCAAAAAGGAUUCACUGUCCACGACACUAUGGCCAAGAACAUAGUUCUCAAGGGCAAAGCCAGUGUAGACAGAGCGGAUAGGACAUCAAUGACCAAGAACAAGUCCCAAGGAUGCACAGCCAAUGCCAACAUGUAGAUGGUUCUAAACUGUACAGGAUACUCAUGGCCAUGCAUAACCUUGAGGGAAGUGUCCUUGAGACAGCCACCAUGUGUACUUGUGCUAGAGGUAGGCUGUGGUUUAUUUUUCUCAUUUAUCCAAGAAGCUAUUUUUGUUCAUUAAAACCUAGUUACUUGCUGUAUCUAGCCAGGAUCCUGGAGUGCUCGCUUGGUUAAUUUAAGCAAGCAGAGCUUUGACAAAGUAAUUUUAUUGUCCUCUGGGAUUGGCCAGCUUAUGCCAAGCCUCACUCUUUCUGUUGAAAUGGAGUUAAUUUUCGCUGAAAUUGCUUCUUAGCAGACAAACAUAUUCCCCAUCAUUGAGGGCUUAUGCUUCUGCAGCUCUAUUAUUCCUUAAUUUACACACUCGGCAGCAUAGGAUCCAUGCCCAAGACAGACAGAGACUCCUGCAGGUGGAGGAAGGCGGAGAAGACGGCAGCCCCUGUUCAGCUCCUCAUACCUGGUUAGAAUUAGCCGUUAGCAAUUAGUCAUCAAUCAUCCAAUCAGUCUGUGCAGCCAGAGCCCCCAGUGUGCCCAGCUCUGUGCCAACCACAGCAAGAGGAUGCAAGGAGGAGGGGUUCCCUGUCUGAAGAACCCAGUUUAUUUGGGGAGGUGAGACUCAGACAUGGGACUCAGAAUUGACACAACACAAUAUUAGCUCAGACUUUGGCUCUGGUCCAAGACAUGGAAUAAUGGAGCGACUUGCUGAUGGGACAUGAAAAGAUGGAACGGUCUGAAAAAGAAGGAAAGAGAAUGGCCCUUGGAGGGGACCUGUCAUAGAGGAGCCCUGAAACUUCUGGUAAACCUUCAGGGAGGGGCUGCAAAAGUGGGCAGAAUAGGAUGGACUGGGUAAAUGGGUCUAGGAGGAGCACAGUGGCAAUCAGUGUUCUUCAGAGUAAGGAAGGACAGGAAGUGUUCAGGACAGGGCAAAGGCCAGGACUGGGGUCAAGACCAUGACAAUUAAGCCAGCAUCUGAGUCACUAUCAUUGCUGGCCUUAGAGUCAUGAAGGGCAUUCAAGGUGAGAUCAAGGCUAGAGGAAGGGCAGCUUGGCCCACAGCUGAUGUCAUGGCCAGCACCACGGAGAGCUCCCGUAGGUUCUGGUGCCUCCCACACCCAGUGGGCAUAAAUAUUCAGAUCCCAGUUGUAGAAGCAGAAAUAAGUAAGCCCAUGUUCUUUCAUUCAGCCUUGGCUAGGAAAUAUAACUGAAGCAGAAGACAUGGGCUUUGCCUAGCAGCUAAUGAAGAACCUUGAAAAAAAAAAGGGAGUCUGUUGACACAGAUGCUUUGAGAAGACAAGCAAUAAGCUAGCCAUUACAUCUUGUUAGAUGGAUUAGGAGAACACUGGGGAAUAUUUGCAUACCAAUUACCAUAAAAUUUGAGUUCAAUCUAUACUUAUUUUAUGACUUGCCUUCAGAAAGUUGAGUUUCUGUGUACAUCUGUUUGCUAAGAAGAUUCAUUUUCCUGUAAUAUUGAAAUUUUUGUCAUAAUAGUUUCAAAAAGUGUUGACUUGUAACAUUAACAUUGAAGAUUAAAAAUGUUUAUUAAAAAAAGCAUUUGUUAAAAUGUUUG
rnacentral:lncRNA from 10 species